rnacentral:rRNA from 1 species
AUUGAACGCUGGCGGCAUGCCUUACACAUGCAAGUCGAACGGCAGCACGGAAGCUUGCUUCUGGUGGCGAGUGGCGAACGGGUGAGUAAAGCAUCGGAACGUGCCCUGAAGUGGGGGAUAACGUAGCGAAAGUUACGCUAAUACCGCAUAUUCUGUGAGCAGGAAAGCAGGGGAUCGCAAGACCUUGUGCUUUAGGAGCGGCCGAUGUCGGAUUAGCUAGUUGGUGGGGUAAAAGCUCACCAAGGCGACGAUCCGUAGCGGGUCUGAGAGGAUGAUCCGCCACACUGGGACUGAGACACGGCCCAGACACCUACGGGUGGCUG